rnacentral:rRNA from 1 species
CANUGGGGGAACCCUGAUGCAGCGACGCCGCGUGGAGGAAGAAGGUCUUCGGAUUGUAAACUCCUGUUGUUGGGGAAGAUAAUGACGGUACCCAACAAGGAAGUGACGGCUAACUACGUGCCAGCAGCCGCGGUAAAACGUAGGUCACAAGCGUUGUCCGGAAUUACUGGGUGUAAAGGGAGCGCAGGCGGACGCUUAAGUCAGUUGUGAAAGUUUGCGGCUCAACCNUAAAAUUGCNNUUGAUACUGGGUGUCUUGAGUACAGUAGAGGCAGGCGGAAUUCGUGGUGUAGCGGUGAAAUGCUUAGAUAUCACGAAGAACUCCGAUUGCGAAGGCAGCCUGCUGGACUGUAACUGACGCUGAUGCUCGAAAGUGUGGGUAUCAAACAGGAUUAGAUACCCUGGUAGUCCAAGGGCGAAUUC